GACAGAGGGUGCGAACGUUGUUCGGAAUUACUGGGCGUAAAGCGCGUGUAGGCUGUUCGGAAAGCCGGGUGUGAAAGCCCUGGGCUCAACCUAGGAAGUGCACUCGAAACUCCCGAACUGGAGUCCCGGAGAGGAAGGCGGAAUUCUCGGUGUAGAGGUGAAAUUCGUAGAUAUCGAGAGGAACAUCGGUGGCGAAGGCGGCCUUCUGGACGGUGACUGACGCUGAGACGCGAAAGCGUGGGAGCGAACAGG
rnacentral:rRNA from 1 species